rnacentral:snRNA from 1 species
AUUUACUUCAGAAGAACAUAUACUAAAAUUGGAAUGAUACAGAGAAAAUUAGCAUUGCCCCUAUGAUCAUGCACAAAUUUGUGAAACAUUCCAUAUUUCU